UUUGAGGAAUCAUAUGAACGUUGCAGGGCGACGCAGUUAAUAGUUCACUAUGAGCUUGGCUCAGCAAACACUGCUAAUUAUUGUAUUGGGUUAGAAGUGUUUAGUGCCGCUGAAGUGGUCACAAACCAAAACACACAUCCUCAAAGGCUGUUGGGAUUUCGAAGGCUCAAAGUCACGCUUCUGUUUACAAACAGAAAAGCCUCCGAAAAGCGAAAAAAGAUACACCUGGACGUCUUCGAAGGACACCCUCCCCGGUGAAUGGAAGCAGAAAUCCUCCUCAUUGUAUUUUGGCUACAUUUCUGAUGCUAAAUUCACGAGGGAAAGGAGUUAGAAAGAAAGAAAGAAAGUCUGGCCUCAAUAAACAUGCGAGUCGUCGUCCAUUCAGGCGGCGAGGAACGUAUUGUUUGUUUGCUAUGGCCUGGUUUCCAGAGACCCCAAGAGUGGCCCAGUGAAGAGGGUUCAGAGAACAAUGGUGCUCCUCAUUGAACGGGGCGAGGACUGAACACCCUUUCUGGAAGUACCGCCCGGCCCGGCCGCUCUCUGCUCACGGAUGAGUGACAGCUGAAUCGCUGGGCGAGUUUUUCCCAAGCACGGGCUCAUAGAGCUUCACUGCACAGGCUGAGUGUGUGUGUUUGAGCGAGCGAGUGGAACUAGGAUGAAAAAGUGUGUGCGUUCAGGCUGCAGCUGCGGAUCUGGGAGGUCCUGUGCCAUUGUCAGCCACACACAAUGGUAAGAGGAGCAAGAGAUGUUUCUUUACAAAGCAACUGCACUCGCUGCCACAGAGCGCCGAGCGCCAGGAGAAAAGAAUAAAGAUGUCAUUGAUGUACAAAGAGGCUGCGUGUGAUGACUCAUGUGAAUCUGAGACGCUCACUGACUCAAACACACACGCACAGAGCUCUCACAUGUCAUUCGCCCUUCUGUGUGUUCAAACUUGGGACGUCACAGGACACAUGAAGCAAGCCGUUUGACAUCAAACCUGGUUUUCACAUGCUCAGGUGAUGUAUGCGGUGGUUCUCCAUCGGCCCGCGUCCUGACCUCGAUGCAGCUCCAUGGAUCAGCACCACCCUAAUAGCGGAGGCAGCGGCGCAUGGCCUUUAAAAGCGUGCGUGGAAUAAAGUUCAGGUGUCAGUAGUUCAACUGAUUUAUAAUGGCGAGGCGCAUCUUGAUUAAGUGCUGAUGUCACCGGAUUCCUCAGCGCUCAUUUGCCGGAUCAAGCCGUGCAGAUCCAACAAACAAGACAAAUGGCCGAGUGAGUUGUGGUAACCUUUGUGUUUCCCUUUCAGGCUUCAUCCAAUCAUGUGCCAGCGGAAGUGCAGCGCUCUCCGAUUUGUUUUAUUUAUGGCUUUGCUCCUUGCGUAAUGUGCAGGGACUUUAGGCGGGAAGCACAUACAAAUGAGCCGCGUGUUUUCAUGCAUGUGUGUGUUUUUUGCUCCGCAGACCUGUCACGGCGACACUAAUCAGCCAUUUUUUAAACCUCGUUCUCCUCUAACUAUCACCCCGCCAUUCCCGCGUAGACAACUCCUCCACUUGUCACCUUCUGCGUUCCCCCCGCGUCGCCGUCAACGUUCAAUUAUUCUUCCCCUUCCUGUAGCACCUACAAAGGAUACAUCACAGGCUCAUUCGAGGGGGGAAAGUAUGAGAAAACAGCAGCGACACCGAUCGGUUGCCGGCACUGUCAUUUGUGAAUAAACAGCAUGUCAGUCUGACUGGCUUUUUUCCUCUACUGGUUGCAGACAGGCCCUGUCAGCUGCUGGAGGAGACGCCACCUCGCUCCUGACAGAUAGAGCUGGAGCGCUAACCAGAGCAUGAUACACCGGCUUCACCUCAGAGCUUGCAAACUGGCCUCGGUCUGGUCACUGAUGACCCUGUUAACCGGUUGAGAGCGGG